GGUAACCAAAGAUAAUAUUGGGGUUUAGAGUAAGAUUCGUAAUUUCUCUUACAUCUCCGCCACCGGGUGCCCAUGUAUCAUACAACCCUCCGAAAUAGAGUGCUUUGAAAACCAGUAGGAAAGCGCCGAAACCUAGUAAUAUUAGAUGAAUACCGAGAAUUGUAGUCAUCUUAUUUUUAUCCUUCCA
rnacentral:antisense_RNA from 1 species